rnacentral:misc_RNA from 1 species
AGAUAGAUCGGCUGACAACGAGUUACUGGGUUUUUCUAGUUUUUGACUUCUUUUUUUUUCUGAACUGUCAGCGGCAAGGAAAAUUUUCAAAGGAGAAAAACACCAAUGGGAAUCUAAGGAAUGGGAAUUCUUGUAAUUUUACAGAAAGCGAUAGAAAUUUGGCUUGAUUUUAAGCUCUAAUACCAAAAUUCUUGUAUAACAAAGGGAAAUGAUCAAGAAGAAGAGAAAUCAA